GGACGGGUGAGUAACNCGUAGGUNACCUGCCCAGAAGCGGGGGACAACAUUUGGAAACAGAUGCUAAUACCGCAUAACAACGUUGUUCGCAUGAACAACGCUUAAAAGAUGGCUUCUCGCUAUCACUUCUGGAUGGACCUGCGGUGCAUUAGCUGGUUGGUAGGGUAACGGCCUACCNAGGCGAUGAUGCNUAGCCGAGUUGAGAGACUNAUCGGCCACNAUGGGACUGAGACACGGCCUAUACUCCUACGGGAGGCAGCAGUAGGGAAUCUUCCACAAUGGGCGCAAGCCUGAUGGAGCAACACCGCGUGAGUGAAGAAGGGUUUCGGCUCGUAAAGCUCUGUUGUUAAAGAAGAACACGUAUGAGAGUAACUGUUCAUACGUUGACGGUAUUUAACCAGAAAGUCACGGCUAACUACGUGCCAGCAGCCGCGGUAAUACGUA
rnacentral:rRNA from 2 species